rnacentral:lncRNA from 1 species
AGCAGCUCUCACCUCACUCACUCUGGGUUCUUCCCUCAUGGCAUGGCCAGGGUGCCGCUGGGAACCACACCCCCCAGCAGGCUAGCUUUGCAUGCCGCCCUAUCUUUCUUUUGAGGCAGCAGUUUAGAAGUGGUGCCUUGGAAUGUGUGCGUGUGCUUUCAGUUAGGCAGGAUCUUAUGGGCAAGAAACCAUCAUGCCAUGCUCUCCUUGUCUAAUGUAUUUAGCAGCACUAAAAGUAAUUUACUUAAAAAUGACUGUUUUUUAAUCUCACUGCUAAAUCCUCAGCUUGGCUUCAAGUCAGUCAGCAGCACUUCAUGAGGAGUAUUGCUGCAGUUAUUUUUAUUUUUAUUUGGAGCAGACAAACUGUAGUGGCUCCUCCUCAGGUCUUCUGUAGGUGUCUUGUACACCUUACCUGGAGGGCAACAUAUUGACAAGGUCAUACAGCGGUCAGGGGAGGACUGAGCACUCUGCCUCACCUGCUUUGCCUGCAUUUCACUAAAUGCCUAUUAAAUGAUGCUUCAGCACAGUCAGAACGGAGCAAUGCAAGGAAAAGGGCAGGUUCCCAUCCUUAUGCAUAUUUCCGGCUGGAAAUCAUGGUAUAGUAGAGCCAGAAAAUAGGUGAAUAAACAACAUAUCAGAAAUAUUGACUCCACAGCAGAGGCUGCUCUUGGACAAACAGGUUAUUGAGUACAUUGCUGUAUGAGUUCUCCACACCCAAAGCAAAAUAUUACAGGGUUUGCUCACAGGGAGGUUCUGCUAACCUGGCUCUCCUGCAGAAAACAAACAUACCACAGAAGCUGCUGCUGACUGAGGGGGGGCAGUGUGAAUUGGAAGCAAGAGACAGAAAGUGUUGCCAUACUCUUCACAGUGCUGCGCGUGGGGUAUGUGUCCAUUCCGUAAUGGCACAGGAGCUUGGUCACAGCAGGAUUUUGUGAUUACACAGCUUAAUUGUUCCCGCAUAUUAUAAAGAGCUCUUUGUUUCUGCCAUUUGUCUUUCAUAUUCAUCCACACUUUUUAUUAUGUUUCUGCUUGCUUGUCCUCCACCAAUUCCUCCAGACUAUUAUUUGCCAUUUCAAUACACUCCACCAUGCACGCCUCAGUUUAAUUUGCUCAUGCCUCUGCUCUUUCAGUUAUUUCUGUCUUGGUAGCUCUCAGCCUGUUCCCCCACUUCUAAUUCAGCUCCCACUCACUGAAAACCUCUCAUGCUGAUUUUACUUAAUACAAGAUAAUUAAGGGUAAGGUUUUUCAGAGGGUUUUUCAGAGGUACGUGCAUAAGAGGAUGGACUUUUCACGGUGCAAGCUAUUUUUUUAUGCUUGUAAGAAAAAUUGUUAAAAUAAAGGUGGCUACAAACACUCCA